GCGUUAAAACUAAGCGGCCUCGCCUUUAUCUACCGUGUUUGUCCGGGAUUUAAAGGUUAAUUAAAUGACAAUACUAAACAUGUAGUACCGACGGUCGAGGCUUUUCGGACGGGGGUUCAAAUCCCCCCAGCUCCACCA
rnacentral:tmRNA from 1 species